UAAACUUGCUUCCCUGCUGACGAGAGGAGGACGGGUGAGUAAUGUCUGGGAAACUGCCUGAUGGAGGGGGAUAACUACUGGAAACGGUAGCUAAUACCGCAUAACGUCGCAAGACCAAAGAGGGGGACCUUCGGGCCUCUUGCCAUCGGAUGUGCCCAGAUGGGAUUAGCUAGUAGGUGGGGUAACGGCUCACCUAGGCGACGAUCCCUAGCUGGUCUGAGAGGAUGACCAGCCACACUGGAACUGAGACACGGUCCAGACUCCUACGGGAGGCAGCAGUGGGGAAUAUUGCACAAUGGGCGCAAGCCUGAUGCAGCCAUGCCGCGUGUAUGAAGAAGGCCUUCGGGUUGUAAAGUACUUUCAGCGGGGAGGAAGGGAGUAAAGUUAAUACCUUUGCUCAUUGACGUUACCCGCAGAAGAAGCACCGGCUAACUCCGUGCCAGCAGCCGCGGUAAUACGGAGGGUGCAAGCGUUAAUCGGAAUUACUGGGCGUAAAGCGCACGCAGGCGGUUUGUUAAGUCAGAUGUGAAAUCCCCGGGCUCAACCUGGGAACUGCAUCUGAUACUGGCAAGCUUGAGUCUCGUAAAGGGGGGUAGAAUUCCAGGUGUAGCGGUGAAAUGCGU
rnacentral:rRNA from 1 species